UCGACCUGAGGUCAGGCAAGAACACCCGCUGAACUUAAAGCAUAUCAAUA
rnacentral:rRNA from 1 species